rnacentral:rRNA from 1 species
AACGAACGCUGGCGGCAGGCUUAACACAUGCAAGUCGAACGGGACAAGUAGCAAUAUUUGUCUAGUGGCGAACGGGUGCGUAACACGUGGGCAACAUGCCUGGAAGAGCGGGAUAGCCCGGGGAAACUCGGAUUAAUACCGCAUGUGACAACGGGGCGGAUUCGCCCUGUUUUCAAAGGUGGGGACCGCAAGGCCUGCCGCUUCCAGAUUGGCCCGCGUCCUAUCAGCUAGUUGGCGGGGUAACGGCCCACCAAGGCGACGACGGGUAGCUGGUCUGAGAGGACGACCAGCCAAACUGGAACUGAGACACGGUCCAGACACCUACGGGUGGCAGCAGUCGAGAAUCUUUCACAAUGGGGGAAACCCUGAUGGAGCGACGCCGCGUGGAGGAUGACGGUCUUCGGAUUGUAAACUCCUGUCAUGAAAGAACAAGCGGAGCGGGUGAACAGCCCGCCGAGUUGAUAGUAUUUCAAGAGGAAGGGACGGCUAACUUCGUGCCAGCCGCCGCGGUAACAC